rnacentral:rRNA from 1 species
AGAGUUUGAUCCUGGCUCAGGAUGAACGCUGGCGGCGUGCCUAACACAUGCAAGUCGAACGGAGUUACGAUGAAACCUAGUGAUUCGUAACUUAGUGGCGGACGGGUGAGUAACGCGUGGAUAACCUGCCUUGCACUGGGGGAUAACACUUAGAAAUAGGUGCUAAUACCGCAUAAGCGCACGGAGCCGCAUGGCUCAGUGUGAAAAACUCCGGUGGUGUAAGAUGGAUCCGCGUCUGAUUAGCUGGUUGGCGGGGUAGAAGCCCACCAAGGCGACGAUCAGUAGCCGGCCUGAGAGGGUGAACGGCCACAUUGGGACUGAGACACGGCCCAAACUCCUACGGGAGGCAGCAGUGGGGAAUAUUGCACAAUGGGGGAAACCCUGAUGCAGCAACGCCGCGUGAGUGAAGAGGUCAUUCGUGAUGUAAAGCUCUAUCAGCAGGGAAGAAAAUGACGGUACCUGAGUAAGAAGCCCCGGCUAACUACGUG